rnacentral:tRNA from 1 species
GUAUCCGUAGCUCAAUUGGAUAGAGUGUUGGCCUCCGACGCCAAAGGUUGCGAGUUCGAACCUCGCCGGAUACGCCA